UCAACUACGUGUGCAGGAGGGGGGGGGAUGCGUCGGGUGCGGACGUUGUCCGGAAUUAGUGUGCGUAAGAGGCACGUGGGCGGUGUGGCGCGUCGGGAGUGAAAGCCCAGGGCUUAACUGUGGGUCGGCUUUCGAGACGGGCAGACUGGAUGCAUUCAGGGGAGAACGGAAUUUCUGGGGUAGCGGUGAAAUGCGCAGAUAUCAGGAGGAACACCGGUGGCGAAGGCGGUUCUCUGGGAGUGUUCUGACGCUGAGGAGCGAAAGUGUGGGGAGCGAACAGGAUUAGAUACCCGAGUAGUC
rnacentral:rRNA from 1 species